rnacentral:rRNA from 1 species
AUACGGAGGGUGCAAGCGUUAAUCGGAAUUACUGGGCGUAAAGCGCACGCAGGCGGUCAAUUAAGUCAGAUGUGAAAGCCCCGAGCUUAACUUGGGAAUUGCAUCUGAAACUGGUUGGCUAGAGUCUUGUAGAGGGGGGUAGAAUUCCAAGUGUAGCGGUGAAAUGCGUAGAGAUGUGGAGGAAUACCGGUGGCGAAGGCGGCCCCCUGGACAAAGACUGACGCUCAGGUGCGAAAGCGUGGGGAGCAAACAGGAUUAGAUACCCUGGUAGUCCACGCUGUAAACGAUGUCGAUUUAGAGGUUGUGGUCUUGAACCGUGGCUUCUGGAGCUAACGCGUUAAAUCGACCGCCUGGGGAGUACGGCCGCAAGGUUAAAACUCAAAGGAAUCGACGGGG